GAUGAACGCUGGCGGCGUGCUUAACACAUGCAAGUCGAACGGUGAACACGGAGCUUGCUCUGUGGGAUCAGUGGCGAACGGGUGAGUAACACGUGAGCAACCUGCCCCUGACUCUGGGAUAAGCGCUGGAAACGGCGUCUAAUACUGGAUAUGUGACGUGACCGCAUGGUCUGCGUUUGGAAAGAUUUUUCGGUUGGGGAUGGGCUCGCGGCCUAUCAGCUUGUUGGUGAGGUAAUGGCUCACCAAGGCGUCGACGGGUAGCCGGCCUGAGAGGGUGACCGGCCACACUGGGACUGAGACACGGCCCAGACUCCUACGGGAGGCAGCAGUGGGGAAUAUUGCACAAUGGGCGCAAGCCUGAUGCAGCAACGCCGCGUGAGGGAUGACGGCCUUCGAGUUGUAAACCUCUUUUAGCAGGGAAGAAGCGAAAGUGACGGUACCUGCAGAAAAAGCGCCGGCUAACUACGUG
rnacentral:rRNA from 1 species